AAUGUACUACCUCGGUCUGGAAUUACUUGUUGGAGAAAUAGAUGUAUCUAGAUGUAUUUUAGUUCUAGAUCCAUCCAUUUUUAUCCAUUUCUGCGACAAGUAAUUCCGGACGGAGGGUGUAUCUA
rfam:Hordeum vulgare subsp. vulgare, WGS project CAJW01000000 data, contig: morex_contig_1559935